CAAACGACUCUCGGCAACGGAUAUCUCGGCUCACGCAUCGAUGAAGAACGUAGCAAAAUGCGAUACUUGGUGUGAAUUGCAGAAUCCCGUGAACCAUCGAGUUUUUGAACGCAAGUUGCGCCCGAAGCCUCUUGGCCGAGGGCACGUCUGCCUGGGCGUCACAC
rnacentral:rRNA from 5 species